CUUGGACUGGGCAUCUGCUGAUUUGAGGUCAAGUUUGAAGAUAUACGUGGUAGACGUUACCGCCGCAAGCAAUGUUUUUGGUUAGACCUAAGCCAUUGUCAAAGCGAUCCCGCCUUACCACUACCGUCUUUCAAGCAAACCCAAGUCGUAUUGCUCAACACCAAACCCAGCGGUUUGAGGGAGAAACGACGCUCAAACAGGCAUGCCCUCCGGAAUACCAGAGGGCGCAAUGUGCGUUCAAAGAUUCGAUGAUUCACGAAUAUCUGCAAUUCAUAUUACGUAUCGCAUUUCGCUGCGUUCUUCAUCGAUGCGAGAACCAAGAGAUCCGUUGUUGAAAGUUUUGACUAUUAGUAAUAAUCUGGUGUGACAAGUUGAUAAAAAAUUGGUUGUAAGUUUAGACCUCUGGCGGCAGGCUGGGCCCACCGCCAAAGCAAGUUUGUUUCAAAGAAAAACACAUGUGGUGCAAUUAAGCAAAUCAGUAAUGAUCCUUCCGCAGGUUCACCCUACGGAAG
rnacentral:misc_RNA from 1 species